rnacentral:tRNA from 5 species
GUCCCGUUCGUCUAGAGGCCUAGGACAUCGCCCUCUCACGGCGACAACACGGGUUCGAAUCCCGUACGGGACGCCA